rnacentral:lncRNA from 1 species
AAAAAUCCUCCCAUUAUACAUUUAUUUUGGCCUGAACAAAUGCAAGACAGAUCAGAAAAGAGCUAGUCCCCUUGUUCUAAAAGUUAGAACAGGUACCUCAGCACUACAAAAACAAAUCAGAUAAAAUUCAAAGACUAAAGCUGUAAAAGUUAAGAGGACAGACAGGAAAGAGACAAAGAAUGAACUGACAUAUUUACUUCCUCUACUGUUGACUUACCAUCAUCCACAGCUUAGAAGAGGAUUAGCACUCUGUGCAAAAAAUUAUUUAAGAUGACACAAGACAAACAAAAAUAUUUAAAUAUUUACUUGUAAGUAGGAGGAAGAAGAGAUUUUUCUUUUUUUUUUUUUUACUGAAGUUCACAGAGCAGCUCACCAAGCUGUGCCCUUCUCUUUUCAGUGUAGAGUUUGGCACAGUUAAGAUGUGAGCACAAAACCUUAGAAGAGUGAAAGAAGCUCGGCACGCUCUUUGCUCCCUGUAACUCUUAUGCAAUGACACCUAUUAUAGGACAAGCCUGGACAAACACUCGGGAAUGGACUUCAGAACACAACACUUGAAGUCAAUCCAUGCAGGGGGUGAAGUAACAACCACGGUUUUGCUGAAUGCCUCUACAUUACACCAGCACAUAUGGUGGAAGCUUCUGCAUUUCGUUGUUGCUGCUGUUGUUAUGAGCAGUAAGGUUCUAAGGCUUAUCCUAAGAGGAUGAAAUAGAGUUUCAGCUUCCCAGGCCUACUGGAAAUUUGGCCCAGCAGUUAUUUGGCAGUGGCCUUCAUGAGCAGCAAUGCCAGCUUUCCAUUGCAAUGCCCACAUUCAGAGAUUUGUAGAAUUAGAGUCCAAAUUCUGCUUUGCAAGCCCAGAAUGCCACUGACUUCAAGGGGGUUGUAGGAUUUUAGCCAAGAGCAGAAAUUGGCCCAGGAUUUUUUCAGACUUCCUCAUGCUUCUGUUUAUAUGAUAUUACCAUCAAGCUCUAUUAGCAUGCUCCAUGAUGCAUUUUACUUUUAAAUUACAU